rnacentral:misc_RNA from 1 species
GUAAAAACUUAUUCAAUUUUCACAACCUUCAAAGCCAAAUCCACCACUCCCCAUCACCCCCCACCCCCCCAUCACUCACCAACCUCUGUUACCCAUUUCCCCAAGCAAUUCCCCUCUACUCCUUUCUCAAUACUCAUCACAAACCCUAGAAAUUCUUUGAGAUAAAAUACCUCAAAAUCAUAUAAAAAUUUAAUCUUUCUUGAAAUUCUAUACAUGGGUUCAUUUAAGAAGAAAUCUUGAUAAGUCCCAGUUGAAAAAAGAGUACAAAGUUUACAGCUUUCUAUAGCUAAAGUUGAGCCAAGAUCAAGAAUGGGUACUUUGUCAGCUUCCAGGUAUCUUAUGGUGUUGUUUAUCUUCUGUUUUUACUUCAGAACUAUCCAAUCUGAGGAGAAAAUGUCAUUUGGUUUUGGGGAUUUUGGUAAAGAUUCAAACUUUGAGUCUCAGAUUGCACUUUAUGGUGAUGCUAAGGUUGUUAAUGGUGGUAUACAAAUGAGUGGUUCAAUGGGUUUUAGUGCUGGAAGAAUCUUGAACAAGAAACCCUUUAAGCUAAUUGAUGGAAAUCCAAGAAAAAUGGUGUCUUUUUCAUUGCAUUUUGUGUUUUCAUUGUCAAGAGAAAAUGGGGAUGGAUUUGCUUUUGUGAUGGUACCUAUUGGAUAUCUUUUUGAUGUGUUUGAUGGUGGCUCAUUUGGGCUAUUGGGUAAUAGAAAAAUGAAGUUUCUUGCUGUAGAAUUUGAUACAUUUAUGGAUGAGAAAUAUGGUGAUGUGAAUGAUAACCAUGUUGGUGUUGAUUUAAGCAGCUUUAUAUCUGUGAAAGUGAGUAAUGUUAGUUCUGUUAAAUUGGGGCUAAUGAAUAGUGGUGAAAAGAUGCAAUCUUGGAUUGAUUAUGAAGCAAGUUCAAAGAGAUUAGAAAUCAGGUUGAGCAAAUUAGGUGACAUAAAGCCAGUUGAUACAUUACUUUCUUGCCCUAUUGAUAUGUCACAAAUGUGGAAAGAGGAUGAAUUGUUUGUGGGGUUAAGUUCUUCAAGUGGGAAUUCCACUCAGAAAUGCAAUAUCUAUUCAUUGAGCUUUAACACAAGGACUGCACCUCAUUGGAUGCACUCAGAACCAUUAGAUCCACAAGCAUUUGUUGAGAAAAAAGAAGAGAUGAAAGUUCAUAGCAGAAGUGAUUGUGCUUUGAGGAUUCUUGGUGCAUUGCUUUUCGGUACGGGAUGUGGAGCAUUAGGGGCAUUAGUUGUUGUGAUUGUGUGGACUGUGUUAGGGAGUAGAAGGCCAGUGGCACCAGAGGAUCAUCCUGCAGUAAUGGAACUUCAUAAGAAGGAAUUCGACGAGUAUAAAAAGUUCAUAGUAGUUGUAGAUAAAGCUAUGGAAGAUGGUAAGGUUAAGAAUUAGGUAAAACUUGAUUGAAGUGGGAAUUUAGUUUUGUUGGUUAUGUAAAAAUCAUCUUUGUUAAGUUUUGUGCUUUUUGUUCUUGUUAUGUUGUGUAGCUGUAAUUUAAUGAUUUACUAUUCAAAGUGUACUAAUUGCUCAGUAUGGUCAUUAAAAUACAGCUUCAGAU